GGUAGUGAUGAAUUGUCAAUCAUUGCUGUUAAUUAGCUCUGAAGCGGAAGUAUAGCCGUCACAAAAACUACGAGUGCAACUAGUAAUAUACAACGUAAAUGGUUGUAGUAAAAAUAAACAGGGAAAAAAGCUCGAGGUCGGAAUCCAGAAGUGUGACUGUGUCUUUAAAUUUCCUGGCUGAAUGGUGUGGUUCCAGCCAAUUGUAGAGAAGGUGUAGAAUGCUGGGAAUGUUAAGUCAAGCCUGGCUGGGAUAAGCUGAAUGGUGAAGGAGUGAGGAGGGAUGCCCGAGAGAAUAAACAACGAGAUAGACAACUUUGCUCCCUUGGUUUCAGGAAUUGUCUUCACAGCAGUGAUCUGGUAUUCCUCUAAGAAUUCAGCAUUUUCCUUCAUAUCCAGAUCCUGACUUUUAACACAAUUCAAAUUCCUUCGAGGCUAGAUAUAUCUUCAGUAUAAAAUCCUUGGAUAUAGAAUGACAUAUAGGUUGGCGUGACUUGUGAAUUGAAUGGGACCCAAUUUUCACGAUAGCUGUGAUUAAUCCCUUGUGGACUGUGCACGGAUAAGCAGGAGCACAUCAAGCUGACGUGCGUUUCUGUCCCAACAGCUCCUCUACCUCUGCAGAUUCUAACCGGCAGUUAACAGUAUUUUCAAGCCUGACCUGAGGACAAUACCACCAUCACAAGGAUCAGUAGAGUGAACCUCCGCUGCAGUCCCUCUCUG